rnacentral:rRNA from 1 species
GAUGAACGCUGGCGGCGUGCCUAAUACAUGCAAGUCGAGCGAACGGACGAGGAGCUUGCUUUUCUGAUGUUAGCGGCGGACGGGUGAGUAACACGUGGAUAACCUACCUAUAAGACUGGGAUAACUUCGGGAAACCGGAGCUAAUACCGGAUAAUUUUUUGAACCGCAUGGUUCAAAAGUGAAAGACGGUCUUGCUUUCACUUGUAGAUGGAUCCGCGCUGCAUUAGCUAGUUGGUAAGGUAACGGCUUACCAAGGCAACGAUGCAUAGCCGACCUGAGAGGGUGAUCGGCCACACUGGAACUGAGACACGGUCCAGACUCCUACGGGAGGCAGCAGUAGGGAAUAUUGCGCAAUGGGCGAAAGCCUGACGGAGCAACGCCGCGUGAGUGAUGAAGGUCUUCGGAUCGUAAAACUCUGUUAUCAGGGAAGAAGAUAUGUGUAAGUAACUGUGCACAUCUUGACGGUACCUAAAGAGAAAGCCACGGCUAACUCCGUG